rnacentral:rRNA from 1 species
AUUGAACGCUGGCGGCAUGCUUUACACAUGCAAGUCGAACGGUAACAGGUUAAGCUGACGAGUGGCGAACGGGUGAGUAAUGCAUCGGAACGUGCCCGGUCGUGGGGGAUAACGCAGCGAAAGCUGCGCUAAUACCGCAUACGAUCUAAGGAUGAAAGCGGGGGACCGUAAGGCCUCGCGCGAUCGGAGCGGCCGAUGUCAGAUUAGGUGGUUGGUGGGGUAAAGACUAAACAAGCCAACGAUCUGUAGCUGGUCUGAGAGGACGACCAGCAACACUGGGACUGAGACACGGCCCAGACUCCUACGGGAGGCAGCAGUGGGGAAUUUUGGACAAUGGGCGAAAGCCUGAUCCAGCAAGGCCGCGUGCAGGAAGAAGGCCUUCGGGUUGUAAACUGCUUUUGUACGGAGCGAAAAGGUCUCCUCUAAUACAGGGGGCUCAUGACGGUACCGUAAGAAUAAGCACCGGCUAACUACGUGCCAGCAGCCGCCGUAA